CAGUCGCCGCGGGAAUACGUAGGGUGCGAGCGUUACUCGGAAUUACUGGGCGUAAAGCGUGCGUAGGUGGUGGUUUAAGUCCGUUGUGAAAGCCCUGGGCUCAACCUGGGAAUUGCAGUGGAUACUGGGUCACUAGAGUGUGGUAGAGGAUAGUGGAAUUUCCGGUGUAGCAGUGAAAUGCGUAGAGAUCGGAAGGAACAUCUGUGGCGAAGGCGACUAUCUGGGCCAACACUGACACUGAGGCACGAAAGCGUGGGGAGCAAACAGGAUUAGAUACCCGUGUAGUCCCUGUCUCUUAUAC
rnacentral:rRNA from 1 species